rnacentral:rRNA from 1 species
CCUACGGGGGGCAGCAGUAGGGAAUAUUGCGCAAUGGGGGAAACCCUGACGCAGCAACGCCGCGUGGAGGAUGAAGGUUUUCGGAUUGUAAACUCCUUUUGUUAGAGAAGAUCAUGACGGUAUCUAACGAAUAAGCACCGGCUAACUCCGUGCCAGCAGCCGCGGUAAUACGGAGGGUGCAAGCGUUACUCGGAAUCACUGGGCGUAAAGCGCGCGUAGGCGGGAUAGCAAGUCAGAUGUGAAAUCCUUGGGCUUAACCAGAGAACUGCAUUUGACACUGUUAUUCUAGAGUAUGUGAGAGGAAGGUGGAAUUCUAGGUGUAGGGGUAAAAUCCGUAGAGAUCUAGAGGAACA